rnacentral:rRNA from 1 species
AGCGAACGUUUGCGGCGGGCCUAACACAUGCAAGUCGAACGCACUAGCAAUAGUGAGUGGCGCACGGGUGCGUAACACGUGGGUAAUCAACCCUUCAGCCUGGGAUAACGACUCGAAAGGGUCGCUAAUACCGGAUACGGCGCGAGAGGCUUCGGCUUCUCACGAGAAAGCCACGCAAGGGGCACUGAAGGACGAGCCUGCGGCCCAUCAGCUAGUUGGUGAGGUAAGAGCUCACCAAGGCUAAGACGGGUAGCUGGUCUGAGAGGAUGAUCAGCCACACUGGAACUGAGACACGGUCCAGACUCCUACGGGAGGCAGCAGUGGGGAAUAUUGCGCAAUGGGCGAAAGCCUGACGCAGCCACGCCGCGUGAGCGAUGAAGGCCUUCGGUCGUAAGACUCUGUGGGGAGAGACGAAGAAAGACCUGUGAAGAGCAGGCCUUGACGGUAGUCUCCUUA